AAGGAUUUAAGUUAAAAACUAAACUAGCAACCUUCAAAGUUGUAAAUAGAGGGCUCUCUAAGCCUUG
rnacentral:tRNA from 1 species